GGGGUCUGGCAAUGACAGUCUCUCCAAUGUGCCUGUCACCUGACAAGCAUGCUUGCUGUCAAGCACUGCAUGCUUAGAGUGAGUGAGGAUCAACGGCAAAUAUCUUACUAAGCUACUGUUUGCAGAUGAUAUUGUCCUGUUCAGCAACAAUGAGAAUGAAUUGCAACAAAUUUAGAAAGUGUAAUCUGUGCAAGAGUAUGAUUAUCUGGGCCAAUUACUCACAGGUUACUUGUAUCUUGUUAAUAAACAUCUGCAAAUUCUAGAUAAAUGUCUAUAGAAUCUGUGGAAGAGUAUGUUUGUCUAGUUCAGUUGCUCACAGAGGACCCCGGCGACAUGAAGGAAAUUUACAGAAGAAUAAAAAUGGGUUGAAGCCCAUAUGACGGCCACUGCCAAAUUGUGACCAACUACGUAUAUUUACCACUAUCCUUGAAAAGAAAGGUGUACAAUCAUUGCAUUCUGUCAGUGCCAACAUAUGGGGCAGAAACUUGGAGGUUAACAAAGAAGCUUGAGAACAAGUUCAGGAAUGUGCAAAGAGUGAUGGAACGAAUAAUGUCAGGUGUAAUGUUGAGAUGGGAAGAGAGCAGUGUGGAUCAGAGAACAAACGGGGAUAGCCAAUAUUCUAGUUAACAUUAAGACGAAAAAUAUGGAGCUGAGCAGACCAUGUAAUGCAUCGGACAGGUAACCGGUGGACCAAUAGAGUUACAGAAUGGAUGCUAAGGGAAGGGAAGUGAAGCACAUUUGUGUAUGGCAGAAAAUUGGUUCGAGUGAUGAAAUUGGGAACUUCACAGGCACAACUAUGAAUCAGCUAAUGCAGGACUGGGGUAAUUGCAGAUCACUGGGAGGGGCUUUUGUCCUGCAGUGAACAUAAAUAUAGGCUGAUGAUGAUGACUUAAAUCUCUCUGGAAAUUUAAAGAAGGAUGAAAAUGAGUUGGAGCACAUAGGGCAGGCAUUAUGAAGUUGUAAAGGGGAAAACAAAACUAUGCAGUCAUUGUAUCAUCAUUCUAUCAGUACCAGCAUAUGGAGCAGAACCUUGCAUGUUAACAAAGAAGCUUCCGAAGAAGUUAGUUACCAUGCAAUGAACAAUGGAACGAAAAAUGAUAGACUGAUGUUGAGAGGCAUAGAUUAGACAGCAAACGACAGGGGUAGCUGAUAUUGUAGUUAUUAAUUAAAAAGAAUAAAUGGAGAUGGCUGGGCAGGUCACGAAUGUGUAAGGUGGUUAACCUGGUGGUCUCAUCAGUGGCAGAUUGGGUGCCAUGAGAAGGGAAGGGUGGUUAAGGACGGCAGAGAAUUAAGUGGUGUGAUGAAAUUGGGGAAACUUGCAGGCGUAUGAUGGUGUAAGCCGGCACUAGAUGGGGAGGGGGGGGGGCUAGUUGGAGAUCGCUGGGACAGGCCUUCGUCCUGCAGUGAACACAAAUAUGAUGGUUGCGAUAAUGAUGAUAAAUGCCUGGCAAGCAUCUGUUGUCAUGGUUGAAUAAUGACAUAAGUGCCGCGGAGAACUUGGAAGGACCGUGAAGAAGUCAAAAUUGGUGGUUAGUUUAAUAUUCAUGCCUCCCCUAAUUAUGCAUUCAAUGAAUUCACUUUCAACAAACUUCAUAUUUACACACUAUUAACCCUUUCAGGCGCUGUGUACAGUUAUGUGCAUGAAGACAGUGCAUCAACAGCAAAAGCAAUGAUAAAAGUAGGGGCAUUUAAAAUGUGUCCCUUACAUAUUGAAACACUUGUGAUUAGAAUGGUGCUACAACUUUGAAUAAAAUGUACAAAAUGUUUUAGCAAAUUCAGUGGGAAAGAAGACAGUUGGAUGUUUUUACUCUGUGUCAGUGUGGGUAUGUAGUGCGUUCACUUCUUUUGUUUUUCAUUAUGUCAAGCAACAGGCAUAUUUUUCAAGUGGCUGAAUAAGUGCCUUUCAAGCUGCUUUUCAAGCUGCUUUUCAAUAAGUGCUUUUCAAGAAAUGUGGUGAAAGCAAGUUUUCAAUCAACAGGAUAAAGUGGCAUCUGAAAGGGUUAAUUAUAACUGCCAGGCAUGCACCUGUUAUUGUGGUUAAGCACUUGGAGACAUAGGUUGCACAUAUAAGUACUGUGUAGAAGUCUAAAUUGGUGGCUUAGUAGCUGUGCCAUUCUGGUGCUGAGAAUAAGGAAAAUGGAAGAACGCUCAUGUAUUCAGUGUUGUGUGCAUAUAACAAGAACCCCUAGGUUGUUGGAAUCAAUUUGGAGCCCUAUCUUAAUGGCAUCCCUCAAGGCCUACUGUGCCACUUUAGGAAAGAAGCUCCAAUUGGUUACAAUAGUGGGAUGCAUGCUGAAUACUUAUUUGUGUAACUCUCAGUGUUGUUGGCAUGUGAACACAAGCAUACUACAACCUUUAGAUGCCAAGACAUCUUUUUGACUUCUCUGUUUCCGCUAUGAACACUAGCAACUCUUUUUUUUAAGCCUUGUGUACACGAGUUGUGCGUGCCUUUCUUCAGUUGUACCAUACCAGGGUGAUGCAGCAGUGCAGAGAAGCCUAAACAGCAGGCAUCAACUUCACAAAAUUGUAGUCCGCAUUGGCCAAGCUUCGACAACUUGCUGCUGUCGAAAUGUUCUGAAAGGUUACACAUUUUGUUGCGCUGUUAUGUUUAGUUCUUUGUAGGGCGAAAUUUUCUCCGGAGGGUGUGUUCGAUAAUAGCCAGAAGGGCACAGCGAGUCAAGUUGUACAAAGUACUAGUGCAGCUUGGCCGAUAUUCUCAAAUGAUCACUUUCUGGUGAGGCUCUCACAUUAGCUGGGCACAACAUUUAGCGCAGUGUCUCAGUAUGUCGAUACUUGACCACUACGCAACCUCAUGGCGGCACUUUGUGCAAACAAAAACAGUGUAAACAAACAAGUUAACACUCGAUGGGUGUAAACUUUUUUGUGGAGAGUAAGGCUGUAUUAGUGUUGAGUCGAAUGGCCCAUAAGCCCUGCCCAUGCAAAGCAAUGAAAAGUGAAGCACAUGCCGGCUUGUGGCCCCUGUACGUAGUAACAGAUGCUCCUAAGCAACAUAACCACUCACUAAUGAAUACACGGUGCCUCGAAAGGCAUUGAUACAUGCUGAAGUUCGGAGCAUUGCGCAAUAUGCGCUGUGCGUACUUCUCUACAAUUUGGAGAGCGCGCCUCAUCGCACUGCACUGAUUUUCAUACAUCGCUGCUUCUGAAUAAAGUGUUGCUUUGUGGGCACAUGACAACCAAAUUUCAGGGAAAGGUGUUGAAAUCCUUCAUGCACUGAAAUUUCAAAACAGGUUCAAGAAUCCUGGCUGAUAAAAAAUGAAUGGAACUAAUGGCACUUCAGUGCAAUGCAAGUGAGCAUUGAAUUAUGUGGUUGUGCUGUGACAUUCUCUUUUUUUUUUUGUCAACUGAGUUCCUCUUUUUUUUUUUUUUUUUCAUGCAUAGGUCCCCCAGUGAACAAGGACAAGUUAAUAGAACACAUUCAGCUCCACGAGAUGGCAACCGUGACUCCCACAAUAACCAGGCCCAAGAGUGACAAAUAUACUCCAAAGAAUGUGAGCGCAUAAGGAAGCUCUAGCUACAUAUUUAAAAUUGUGCAGACCUACAUCGGAAAGAGAAAUGGGGAAGGAGACGACUGCCAGCAGCAGCCCUGACCAACCACUGGUUAACCACUCCUGGCUGCGAAGUGCAUCGUCCUUCCAAGUUUACUUCUCGCGUUUCCUCAUGGCACGACCGCAGCACUUCCAAAUAUGGCUGUUACAUGGCUAGCAUGUGGCUCCUUUUCUCUUUUUUUUAUACCCCACCCAUUUUCCUUUUGUUACUUUUUUUUCCCCCCUGUAAUAUGUACAUGUGAUACAGUCCCCCUGUGGGCACGGCCUCAUCGCUACCCUCUCUCGUGCUCCCUCUACGAGAUUAGGUGCGCAGUUGCCUCUGGUGAUGCAAAACUUGCAUAAAUGUCUGCUUGUCCCUCCGUGUGUGUCUGUUUGCGUGUGUGUGUGUCUGUGUGCGAGAACUGUGUAGUGACAGUGAAAAUGCAGGAAAGCAUCAAAGAUGCACUCUUUAAGUAUGGCUAGAGCACUCCUCGAGGGCUUUUCUUUCUCCGUGGGUAUGCCUGUUUUAAGGUUGUGCUGCUAUUGCUACCCUGUACAUUGCAGCCGAGCUUGCAGUGCUGAUGACUGCAUUGUUGUCGGGGAUGGCCAGCCUUCUGUGUGAUUGUUCAGCAAGCAUUGCUACUCUCGUCGCGCGUGCAAGCUCGUUGCGUUGCUUUGCUCGUCCUAACAGUUUUGCAUCACCGGCAGAGUGCGCUCUGCAGCGGGGAUUUUUCAAUGUGGUGUGAAUCGACAGCAGAGUCUUGCAGCAAGUAUCUCUGAGCGAAACACAUUGUGCAUGUGUAUACAUUUGCUGAAUCAAUCUUGACAUCACUUUAAUGAGAUGUGGCUGUCCAUUACUUUUUUUUUCCCCCUUUCUAUUCAUUGACAUUUUUACGCAUGGCAACAUUUUGGAGGUUUCUUAUACAGACUUUUUAAAUGAAUGUUUCAAAUCAAGAUUGCAAGUAAGGAGUGUUCUUUCACUAGAGCAAGAAAGUGCUGAUAUGAUAGUGCAGAGGGAACAGGGUUUAUAGCAUCAUCUACUCGCGUGCAACCACGCUGAAGCCUUGCUUAGUUAAUUGUUGCAAGGGGAGACUUACUCCGUGGUGUGCGGCGUGUUUCAAGCCAGCCUGCCCUGGCAGCACUGCGAUCUUUGUUCUCAUGCAGGAUCAGUAAAUUGGUUUUAAGUGAACACCAUUGUUAUCUUAUGUAGCUGUAUGCAAAGAAGCAUUGGAGGUCCACAGUUGUGCAUUGAUUGUCAAUGCCUUGUUCUUUUUCUGAGUCGGCACAACCUCCAUGCACCUUUAUUUUUUUUCUUCCCUUUUAUACAUUCCACAUUGGCUUUGCAUGUUUUCCUCGCGUGUGUGAAAUGCGAGGCUCGAUGACUUAAGUGCACACUUAUGUGUCAUGAGAUGGGCUGCGCAUCCGAAACUAUUGAUGUUGUUGAGGCUCAGCCAUUUUUCUUUUUUUUUUUUGGACUUGAGUAUGUGUGUCAUGUUUGAUGGAAGAGAUUUCAGCCCCCCAAAUUCAGGAACCUGCUCAAUUCUCUGCUCUUGUUUUUCUCUGCUAAGUGUGAUAACAAGCCCCUUUUUGACUAGGCUUGCUCACUGGUCUUGAAUAACACUCCUAGGUGGACCUCAGCAUUCUUUGAAAACCUCGGUGUGCUCCCUGAAAUCUUUAGCGAAGAGUUGCUUGGAUGACGUCUUUUCCACUCCAGCACUCCCGAGUAGAUACUGGAACUGGUUGGUUGCGAAAUUUCAGUUGCACAGUUUCCGAGGUGCAUUACCAAAAUGCGGUGACCACAUAAACCAAGAGGUGGCGCUGGCCUCCAUUCGGUAGAGUCUAGCGGGGAGCUUGGAGUUGAGGUGCGCUCGUGAGUGUUCGGGGGUCGAGUGUCUGAAGUGAGUUUGCAACACAAUGGUGCUCUGUCCUAGCCUAUACCUUUUACUUGGAUUUGCACUAUUUCUCUUUUCCUUUCCCACUAGCAAAAAGGCGGUGCCUCAUCGGCCGCUUUCUUACUUUUCUCGUAUGAACAAAAAAACUGAACGUUCCACGAUGACCAGACCCACAGAUGUGUGUAUUGUCUGAGCAUUGUCGUCUGCCGAGUGGUGUUGUCUGCAGUGUGUGAAGCAAUUCUAGUCUUUCUUCCUCUUCUUUUUUUUUAAUUGCUAAGGGGUGUGAAAAAUGAAGCAGUUGCAUCUUAUUUAUUUUUAAAUUGUAGUAGGGAAUUUAACAGAAAUUGGCACAUCCUUCCCGUAAGCGUGCAGAUUUAUGCAUCAAGCGUGUCUGGCUUUCCAUCAGUCCAUGGUGCUUGAAAUGUGGUGUUUCACCUACAGUUUAUGUGGAGAGAUGCUGACUCUUCUUCUUUCCCGUGCCUUUUGGUGGUUGCAGAAGGGAAGUUGUUUCACUCAUAUUUAUAAAACCAAGUUUCCGAACCCUUUGUUUUAUUAACAGUGCUCACCAGCUGAAGUAGUGAAGGUUCACAUGGCCCCUGUUCUUACUGUCUUAAUGCUUCACAAUUUUUUUUUUUUUUUUUCGAAGUUCUUGUUAAUAUUGUGGGCAUUAAGGCUUUGUCUUCUCUUUUAAUGUGGCUGCCUUCCACGAAACUCAGUCUGUGGCAAACAUGCAUUUCUGUAGAAAUGAGAGAGAACAAUGGAAAAAAUAAAGAGGCAGCAGUUUGAUCUUGUGAUCCUAUUGAACAUUCAUGUGAAUGUGUGAUAGUGUGUUGUUACCACUAGGAAGGAUUAGUACACAUGUUGUGUGUGGAGACAUGGAACAUUCACAGCCACAUCACUGCUCUGGAACAACAAGUUGUACAGUAAGACCAAUAAAAAUUAAAUGUGUUGUCUUGUGGUA